rnacentral:rRNA from 1 species
UACAGAGGUCUCGAGCGUUAGGCGGAAUCACUGGGCUUAAAGCGUGUGUAGGUGGAUCGUUAAGUACCUUGUGAAAUCCCACGGCUUAACCGUGGAACUGCUUGGUAUACUGGGCGGUCUUGAGCCAGCUAGGGGCUACCGGAACAAAUGGUGGAGCGGUGAAAUUCGUAGAUAUUUGGGAAGAACACCGAUGGCGAAGGCAGCCAUCUGGACCGGCACUGACGCGUGAGGCGGCGAAAAGCGUGGGGAGCAAACAGG